GGACUUAUAAAAUCCUCUAUACGCAUAGCAGCUUGAACAGAAAACUCUGAGACGAGCUCACGAAGUGGAUGAAUCAUUUCAUCCAAGGCACGCGAGGUAACGGCAGAUUCAUUGAAUAGACCAAGAACACCGGAAAGAUUGAAGGCAUUUUCAAUAAUUUCUGGUGAUAUGUCUGUCGUCCAUGCUUUCACCAACCAUAAAAUAGCUCUUAAAACAUUAGUAGUAUUAUAGGGAUUGCGUCCCAACUCAUUUUGUUCCAAUAUAUAUUGAACCCAGUGUUUGCGAUAGCAUGCUUUUAGAGCAUAGAUCACACCCUCACUACAAGGCUGGGAAAUAGAGGCUGAAGUAGAUGGUAAAGUAAUUACAGUUGUAUUUCUGAGGUCAUUACCAGAGUUUCGAAUGUUUUCAACAGCACGCAAAUGUGGAGUAUAGCUAUCAAUAAGAAGUAUGACUUUGCGACCUUCCAUACACGCAUCAAACCAACGUAGCCAUUCCUCCAUUAUAGCUGUGGUCAUGGAUGCCUUACCAUUACUUCUCCAUUUGAAAUUCAUUACUUCGGGUUUUACAUUAGCAGCCCGAAACACUCUGGGAGAUUGUGAGUAUCCAAUAACCCAUAAAGGCAAACGUUCGGUUCCCGAAGCAUUACAACACACGGUUAGUGUAAUACGAGCUUUGAAUCGAGUAAUACCUUUUAUAUCUUCGACUUCGGGAGUGCCAUUUGGAACCAAUUUCCAAAAAAGACCGGUCUCUUGCAUUGUGAAGAUAUCAUUAAUAUUCGUUAAUCGCGUGACAUCGUAAACACGAGAGAGAGGAUCAUUAGGUGGUUCCGUAUUAUUCAAAACCACAGACUCGGUGGGUUGUUCAUUAAUUGCAUGAAGUAUAUGGCGCUUCCUGAAACCUUCCAACCAUCCAUUGCUAAAGUUCGGAACCGGUUGAUCUUGAUACUCGGGAAUUUUGUGCCAAAGAAUAGCGGCGGCUCUCUUAAUUGUUUCACCGGAAAGUGUAGCAUCGUCACCCUGUUGAACUUGCCAUUCAAAUAAAGCGGCCUCUAAAAGAGGGUAUUUCGGUGGUCUGUUACGUUUCACGUCCCAUGGUUUUUCUACAGUAUUGUCCAGAUACGAGUAUUUGGAGGAUAAGAUCUGAGAGACGGAAGGCUGUGAAAUAUCUUUGCCAAACUUUUCACGGAACCAUUCGAUAAGAUCUUGUUGACCGGAACGGUUUUGAAGUUGAAAAAAGUAGUGCCUAAGAGCGCGUUUUUCAUGUUCUGUAAUGGCUCUUCUUUUGAUUUUUCCCAUUACUCGAUAGCUUUAUUAUUUCUAAUGUCUUGAAGUGAAAAUAUAAGGAUAGCAGAGCAAAGGUUUCUUGCCUUAAUAAAACGACACUAACAGUCACGAGUUCGUAAUAUUAUACUGAACAGCGU
rnacentral:lncRNA from 1 species